GUCCAAAUAGCUCAGUUGGUAAAGCAUUAGACCCUUAAUCUCAAGGUCGUGAGUUCGAGCCCCGCGUGGGGCA